rnacentral:lncRNA from 1 species
AAUUCAACGCAAGAUCCUGCUGGUGAUCCAACAGAUGGGAACCCAACAGACACAAACACAUCAGGUGAUUAUAGUCAUAUGCUUGCGAACUUGUCAGAUUUAUUUGCUUACUUGCAUUGCUAAAAGUGCACUUCUAUUUGGAGAUGCCUAAGAAAAUGACUGGCAAAUAAAAUAGGAAUCCAAACUUGCAAAAUUCUCUUUUACAGACUGCUAGUACUAUUGGGACUCUAGGUACAAGGCACAAUGUAAUUGCUCCAAAUACGCUCAUACAAGUUGCAACAAUGAAUUCUCAAAUGUUUUGAGCAAUGGUACACAAGCUUGGUUUGUCUUCAUGUUGACCUUUAUUUGAUGCGUAAAUGGCCUUCAUAAUGUGCAAUCAUCUACUUGCUUGCACUAUUGUACUUUCUUUGUUGCUGAAGCACAUACAGUAGGAAGCCAGAAAUAGAACAGUUUUCUCACCAUUAGAAAUUGUGAACUUGCGCCAGCAUGUAGUUGUUUCGGAGAAGUUUAGUUGUUUGAUUAAUUUAGGUAAUUACUUUUGUGUUUGAACUAUAAAUUCUUUUGUGAAAUUAUGCAAUUCUUUUUGCAUAGCACCUAACUGCUGCUGGAGUAGUACAACAGGCACAAGAAUUUGCUUGCUAUCUGUUGUGGUCAUGACAAUUCGUCAGGAAGGUACCCAUGCAUGCACGAAUAUAGUAACUAUACAAUUGUCAUGAUAGUGGUUAUAUCUUUCUGCUAAUUAGUCAUUGUGUUGUUUCUUUAUUUUCCUGACUAAGUAUUUUCUAUUUUAAAUUAACUUGAGCUAAAUAAAUUUUUGAUUUCUUCAUAGCAGGAUCCAAAGAUUUAGCUGGA